rnacentral:rRNA from 1 species
UACGGAAGGCAGCAGUGGGGAAUAUUGCACAAUGGGCGCAAGCCUGAUGCAGCCAUGCCGCGUGUAUGAAGAAGGCCUUCGGGUUGUAAAGUACUUUCAGUCGUGAGGAAGGUGUUAAGGUUAAUAACCUUAGCAAUUGACGUUAGCGACAGAAGAAGCACCGGCUAACUCCGUGCCAGCAGCCGCGGUAAUACGGAGGGUGCGAGCGUUAAUCGGAAUUACUGGGCGUAAAGGGCACGCAGGCGGCUAAUUAAGUUGGAUGUGAAAUCCCCGGGCUUAACCUGGGAAUGGCAUUCAAGACUGGUUAGCUAGAGUCUUGUAGAGGGGGUAGAAUUCCAUGUGUAGCGGUGAAAUGCGUAGAGAUGUGGAGGAAUACCGGUGGCGAGGGCGGCCCCUGGGACAAAGACUGACGCUCAUGUGCGAAAGCGUGGGGAGCAAACAGGGAUUAGGAUACC